GCCUAACAACUGAUUCAUUUUUACGUUUUUCAUAAGAAAAAAACACACACACACAGGAAAAAGAGAGAGAGAUAAUACCAAAAUAGGAGCUGCUAAAUCAUGAAGGCAGGAUAAAUACAAAGAAGAUGAUGUGCUCAUGAUCUUCACAGUCAAAUUGUUGAAAAGAUGUCCACUGAGGAGGUCUACAGAAAAAAAGAAAAAGGGCUGGGUGUGGUGGCUCACAGCUAUAAUCCCAGCACUUUGAGAGGCGUAGGCGGGCAGAUCAGUUGAGGCCAGGAGAUUGAGACCAGCAUGAUGAAACUCUGUCUCUACAAAAAAUUAAAAAAAAAAAAAUAACCAGGCAUGGUGACUUACACCUCUAAUACCCCUGUGAUGGUUGAUGUUAAAUGUCAACUUGAUUGGAUUGAAGGAUGCAAAGCAUUGUUUCUGGGUGUGUCUAUGAGGAUGUUGCCAAAGGAGAGUAACAUUUGAAUCAGUGAACUGGGAAAGGCAGACCCACCCUCAAUCUGAGAGGAUAUCAUCUAAUCAGCUGCCAACAUGGCAAGAAUAAAAGCAGGCAGAAGAACGUGUGAAGACUAGACUGGCUUAGUCUUCCAGCCUACAUCUUUCUCCCGUGUGAGAUGCUUCCUGCCCUCAAGCAUCGGAUUCCAAGUUCUUCGGCUUUGGGACUCUCGGACCUUUGACCACAGACCAAAAGCUGCCUUGUCAGCUUCCCUGCCUUUGAGGUUUUGGGACUCGAACUGGUUCCUUGCUCCUCAGAUUGCAGACGGCCUGUUGUGGGAACUCACCUCGUGAUUGUGUGAGUCAAUAUUCCUUAAUAAACUCCCCUUUAUAUAUACAUCUAUCUUAUUAGUUCUGUCCCUCUAGAGAACCCUAAUACACCCCCUUACUUGGGAGGCUGAGGCACAAGAAUCGCUUGAACCCAGGAGGCUGAGAUUAC
rnacentral:lncRNA from 1 species